rnacentral:rRNA from 1 species
UACGGAGGGUGCAAACGUUGCUCGGAAUUAUUGGGCGUAAAGGGCGCGUAGGCGGCUUUUCAAGUGACGGGUGAAAUCCCUCGGCUUAACCGAGGAACUGCCUGUCAGACUGGAAGGCUUGAGACCGGGGAGAGGUGAGUGGAAUUCCCAGUGUAGCGGUGAAAUGCGUAGAUAUUGGGAGGAACACCAGUGGCGAAGGCGGCUCACUGGACCGGAACUGACGCUGAGGCGCGAAAGCGUGGGGAGCAAACAGG